UACAGAGGGUGCAAGCGUUAUUCGGAAUCACUGGGCGUAAAGAGCGCGUAGGCGGUUUGGUAAGUUUGGUGUGAAAGCCCCGGAUUCAAUUCGGGAAGUGCAUUGAAUACUGCUAGACUAGAGUAUAAGAGAGGAGGGCGGAAUUUCUGGUGUAGAGGUGAAAUUCGUAGAUAUCAGAAGGAACAACAGUGGCGAAGGCGGCCCUCUGGAUUAUUACUGACGCUAAGGCGCGAAAGCGUGGGGAGCAAACAGG
rnacentral:rRNA from 1 species